CCUGACUGCUAUCGGAUUGAUACUAAGCCAUGCGAGUCAUUGUAGUAAUACAAGGCAGACGGCUCAGUAACGCGUAGUCAACCUAACCUAUGGACGGGAAUAACCUCGGGAAACUGAGUAUAAUGCCCGAUAGAACAUUAUGCCUGGAAUGGUUUAUGUUCCAAAUGAUUUAUCGCCGUAGGAUGGGACUGCGGCCUAUCAGUUUGUUGGUGAGGUAAUGGCCCACCAAGACUAUUACAGGUACGGGCUCUGAGAGGAGUAGCCCGGAGAUGGGUACUGAGACACGGACCCAGGCCCUAUGGGGCGCAGCAGGCGAGAAAACUUUGCAAUGUGCGAAAGCACGACAAGGUUAAUCCGAGUGGUUUCUGCUAAAGGAACCUUUUGUUAGUCCUAGAAACACUAACGAAUAAGGGGUGGGCAAGUUCUGGUGUCAGCCGCCGCGGUAAAACCAGCACCUCAAGUGGUCAGGAUGAUUAUUGGGCCUAAAGCAUCCGUAGCCGGCUCUGUAAGUUUUCGGUUAAAUCUGUACGCUCAACGUACAGGCCGCCGGGAAUACUGCAGAGCUAGGGAGUGGGAGAGGUAGACGGUACUCGGUAGGAAGGGGUAAAAUCCUUUGAUCUAUUGAUGACCACCUGUGGCGAAGGCGGUCUACCAGAACACGUCCGACGGUGAGGGAUGAAAGCUGGGGGAGCAAACCGGAUUAGAUACCCGGGUAGUCCCAGCUGUAAACUAUGCAAACUCAGUGAUGCAUUGACUUGUGGUCAAUGCAGUGCUGCAGGGAAGCCGUUAAGUUUGCCGCCUGGGAAGUACGUACGCAAGUAUGAAACUUAA
rnacentral:rRNA from 1 species